rnacentral:rRNA from 1 species
CUGGCUCAGAACGAACGCUGGCGGCAGGCUUAACACAUGCAAGUUGAGCGGGAGUUAUGUUGGUAGCUUGCUACUGAUAUAUGAGAGCAGCGCACUGGUGAGUAACACGUGGGAACAUACCUUUUGGUGGGGGACAACAGUUGGAAACGACUGCUAAUACCGCAUAAGCCCUGAGGGGGAAAGAUUUAUUGCCGAAAGAUUGGCCCGCGGAAGAUUAGGUAGUAGGUGGGGUAACGGCCUACCUAGCCAACGAUCUAUAGCUGGUCUGAGAGGACGAUCAGCCACAUUGGGACUGAGACACGGCCCAGACUCCUACGGGAGGCAGCAGUGAGGAAUAUUGGGCAAUGGAGGCAACUCUGACCCAAGCCAUGCCGCGUGAGUGAAGAAGGUUUUCGGAUUGUAAAGCUCUUUCGGACGUGAAGAUGAUGACGGUAGCGUCUAAAGAAGCCCCGGCUAACUUCGUGCCAGCCGCAGC